rnacentral:rRNA from 1 species
GGGUAUCAGGAGNUCUCGUGACUCGGCUCUCUCUCCUGCCUUUGUGACCUACGUCUGUUGCUUUGGGGGCGCCGGCCGCCAAUAGACCUCCUAACUCCUUUCGGUAUACGCAUACGUCUGAUAAACCUGUUUAUAAACUAAAACUUUCCACCACGGAUCUUUUGGUUCUGGCGUCCAUGAAGAACGCACCAAA